rnacentral:rRNA from 1 species
AGUUUGAUCCUGGCUCAGGAUGAACGCUGGCGGCGUGCUUAACACAUGCAAGUCGAACGGGGUGCUCAUGACGGAGGAUUCGUCCAACGGAUUGAGUUACCUAGUGGCGGACGGGUGAGUAACGCGUGAGGAACCUGCCUUGGAGAGGGGGAUAACACUCCGAAAGGAGUGCUAAUACCGCAUGAUGCAGUUGGGUCGCAUGGCUCUGACUGCCAAAGAUUUAUCGCUCUGAGAUGGCCUCGCGUCUGAUUAGCUAGUAGGCGGGGUAACGGCCCACCUAGGCGACGAUCAGUAGCCGGACUGAGAGGUUGACCGGCCACAUUGGGACUGAGACACGGCCCAGACUCCUACGGGAGGCAGCAGUGGGGAAUAUUGGGCAAUGGGCGCAAGCCUGACCCAGCAACGCCGCGUGAAGGAAGAAGGCUUUCGGGUUGUAAACUUCUUUUGUCGGGGACGAAACAAAUGACGGUACCUGACGAAUAAGCCACGGCUAACUACGUGCC